rnacentral:rRNA from 1 species
GACGAACGCUGGCGGCGGGCUUAACACAUGCAAGUCGAACGAAGAGCGAUGGAAGCUUGCUUCUAUCAAUCUUAGUGGCGAACGGGUGAGUAACGCGUAAUCAACCUGCCCUUAAGAGGGGGACAACAGUUGGAAACGACUGCUAAUACCGCAUACGAUCUAAUCUCGGCAUCGAGGAUAGAUGAAAGGUGGCCUCUACAUGUAAGCUAUCACUGAAGGUGGGGAUUGCGUCUGAUUAGCUAGUUGGAGGGGUAACGGCCCACCAAGGCGAUGGUCAGUAGCCGGACUACGAUGAUGAACGGCCACAAUGGGACUGAGACACGGCCCAGACGCCUACGGAGGGCAGCAGGAGGGAGUCUUCCGGAAUGGACGAAAGUCUGACGGAGCAACGCCGCGUGAGUGAGGACGGCCAUCGGGUUGUAAAGCUCUGUUAAUCGGGACGAAAGGCCUUCUUGCGAAUAGUGAGAAGGAUUGACGGUACCGGAAUAGAAAGCCACGGCUAACUACGUG